UUGCCGAGUUUCGCAACGUUGCGAACUUCAUCGGCCAACAGAACCCAACGGAGAGAAGUUAUCGUGAAAUACUCAAAAUGGACGACCAACGACCAAUAUGCCCUAUCGAAAACGUGCGAAGAACACCAAAUUUACCGGCAGUCCACAAAAUUAUUCACCAUUUUGUUAUCUCUUUACGUCGACUGUUUUAUAACGAAGUGAUUAAAAAAGAAAGAUGGCGGACGACAUCGAGGAGAGAAAAAAAAAGAAAGAAGAAAAAUGAGAAAGAAACUUCUUUUAAAUCGUUUCGAAUUUAUCCAGUUUACCGUAUGAAGUCUGCACACGUGUGAAAAACAGAAAAA
rnacentral:lncRNA from 1 species